rnacentral:lncRNA from 1 species
GAGGAAUCCGUUAACUAGUACACAAUUAUUUAAAAGUAAUUUGAAUAAACAUUUAUAUUUAAUAGUUAUUAGAAAGUUAAAUCACUUUAUACAAGUUAAUGACGAGGAAGCCAAGUCAAUGUACAUUAUAUGUUAAAUAAAAAAGUAAAUAAAAUAUGUUUUGUAUAUGAAUUAAUUUUUAAUUCGAAAUAAGUUUUAAUAAUUUGGUUUAAUGUUGGUUUUGAUUUUUCGUAAAACCUAAACUUGCCAACAACAUUCCUCCAAUGAAUGUCCCAUCCAA